ACAUUAGUUUUCUAGGGUUCCGCAGUACGCUGGUCAGGUCCAAGAGAAAACACACAGUUGGAAACUGUGCACACGGAGGGAUAAAAGCCCGGGAGAU
rnacentral:sRNA from 15 species